UGUACGAGACAUCAAAAGUUAAUUGGCACAAACCAAAAUUAAAACAAUUUUUAUUAGUAACGUAGUCAAACGUAGUGUUAUUUUCUUGAUUACCUAAACAAACUAUCGAGGGACCAUAAUACACAGGUUUCAUGGAAUUCUUUGGAAUAACCUUGUAUGGUCCUCAAAACUAUAUAAAAGAUAUGCUGAGAGAUGAAUACCAAGAACCAGAUAGAAAAGAAGAUGUAAAGCCUCUCAUGGAAAAAGUUGAAAGCUAUUCCACUAUGCCCAAGAAGAUUCAAAGGCCAGAUGUCGACACAAUACGGGUGAUUGACUUGUACAUCGGCAGAGUAAACGGUUUCGCAUACGGUUCUUUUCAAAGAUUUGUGAAAAUGAAGCGAAAAGGAGUCAUUAAGCCAACAGGGCCUUCGGACAUGUAUAGACUUCCACCAGUGUCAUCUGUUGACUAUGGAUGGUGGCAACAUGAUCCGGAAUUGCAAAAGGUGACAUGGCACCACACAUAUCCGAGGCAUCCGCAACCGUCGUCUCCAAACACUUUGAUUCUUGAUGUAGUUCGGAAGAAUAAUAAAUAUGCAUCUUUAUUCUAAAUCUGCUGUGUUGCUGGAUGCUGUUGAUAUAAAGUUCGUUAACUGGAUGACCAAGACGCGCACCACAUUAAUUUCUACUUAUAUCGAUGCAUUUUGCCGUCUAAAAUUAAUGGAUGUCAUCGUGGUGUGUAUCCUCCUAACCCAGCAGCUGUACCUAAACCUAUUUAUUUUGUAAUUGUAUACCUACCUCAAUAAAAAUAGCAUAUUGU